rnacentral:tRNA from 1 species
GCUCUGUUCUUCUAAACGGUUAGGAAACCAGACUUUCAAUCUGGCAACGCGGGUUCGAUUCCCGCACAGAGUA